GCCAUUUUCGAGUGAUGCCUGAUCUCAUCAAUCUAGCGGGAGAGACAGGAUAACCUGUCCGAGAGUAUAGCGCCACUAUGACUCCGCCGGAAAAAUUACUUUAAAAAUCGCCAAAAAUUACUUGGAGCAAAGGGCAGUCGGCGGAGCUUCGCCAAGGCUGGCGCAGUCGGUUUUGACCUGUAGCAGAGAACCAAUUCUGGAGAACAGCCUCACUUCUUUGAUUGAAUACUUACAUAAUGCAUUGGAACAUGACAUGAGAUUAAGUGUAUAAAGCCAAAUGUCCCAUUUAAAGUUUGACAUUUGCAAUAGCAUUCUAUUUAAAAGGUUUAAUAAUGAUAGAAUGAAGACCACAAUAAAAGAGACCUCUACUUAGCUCAGCAAUUCUUACCUUUCUUACCUAUUUGAUGAAGAUGUCUUUUGAAAGGUGUACUGCAAGGAACAAAAUGUUUGUAAAUUCUCCUUUUACCAAGGUGGAUAAUUACUGUACCUUCCUCAUGGAAAAAGUUUUAUUUAAAGUGUUAUUUCUCAUUGAAUACUAUCAAAAAGGAAAAAAAAAUGACCUAAACUUUUGAGAUAGAUUUGGCUCUAGUAAGUAUUUAGUUAUAUCACUUGCAUAUCUGGGAGAAGAAAUAAGAGACUAUCAUCAGUACAUUCCCAUCUACUAAAAAAAUUUAUUUUACACAUGUCAAGGGAUUACUUAUAACUUCCAUUUUAUUACUAAUAGCUUGAACCCUUUUAAUGAAGACCUAACUCCUCCACCAGAAAUUUAAGUUUAUGUUCUUACUUUGUUUACUUAUAAAAUACAUCUCAGGUAUUUCGGAUGUCUUUUUUUUUUCUAAGCCUAUAUGAAAUGAAAAAUAUAUUGGCAAAAUAAAUGUUUAAACCUUUUACGUUAAAAUUACUUUGAAAGAUGAAAAGUUAGUGCUGUUUUUGUCUACGUUAUACUGAAAUUAAAUGUUUAUAAUUUAUAUUUUGGGUUUAUGUAUAAAUCAUGGAAUUUAUGCAAAAAUAUGAGUAGUACAGAUUCUCCUCUAAUUCUGUAGGACUUUGAAUAAUGUGAUAUUUUUCUUAUAAUUGGACCCUUGUGUUUUGAAGAAAUGCCAACUGCUUGAAGAAUCUCCUUGUUAUUUGUAUUAUUUGCUAUAGGGUUAGAUGUUGAGAAAUUCUGCUGACAAAAAAUUUUAAGCCAGUUUUACACUAAAUGUUCCUCAGUCUGAUUAAUUUGUUAUUGGAUGUAUUCUGUAUCUUUCUUUUGUAAUUUGUAACUUUUAUCCACUUAGCACGAAUGAUUCUAUUAAAGAAAAUCAUUAGGAAGUGGUAGAAACUUUAAAUCGCCCCAGAGUUUGCCUGUUUCCAUAUUUUAUUAUCUUAUAAUCUUCGGGAGUGCUUACACUUAUGGAGCUAACAUUUUCAGAGAUACAGCUUCUUAUAGUAACACUAAAACUUUCUUCCUCUUUGGACUGAAUACCUAUAAUUAUAACUAUAUGGUAGUUUAAGUUUCCUUGUGAUUAGUCAAAAAUACCAUUUUAGUAUGAAGCAAUGAAGUCUAUUAUUUGUUGUCCCAUAAUUGAGAAAGCUUAAAUACACCUUUUAUUAAGAGUUUGUAAAUUCUAGCUUAGUCUACACAGAUUUUUAUAUCAAUUUGUUUAUAUUUUUAUUAAUGUCAUUUCUGGAAGUGUGAAAAUGUUAAUGUUCAACAAGCAACAUUAAAAAUAGAUUUGAAACAUUUAUAUA
rnacentral:lncRNA from 10 species